rnacentral:rRNA from 1 species
UACGUAGGUGGCAAGCGAUACUCGGAAUCACUAGGCGUAAAGCGCAGGUAGGCGGUUUGGUAAGUCUUUUGUGAAAGCUCCCGGCUCAACUGGGAGAUGUCAAGGGAAACUACCGGACUAGAGUGUGGUAGGGGAUACUGGAAUUCCUGGUGUAGCGGUGAAAUGCGUAGAUAUCGGAAGGAACAUCAGUGGCGAAAGCGGCUUCCUGGACCAGCACCGACGUUCAGGCACGAAAGCGUGGGGAGCAAACAGG